UUUUUCUGUUCUCCUGAUUUUUGUUUCCAGGUUGUUUGCAAGAGAUAUGGCAGGGUAAAGGGAGAAGUUGCGGAGUUUAGUGAAAAGAAAGCAAGAAAGGACAGUGUUCCAUGAAAAGAGGAGAGGAGAUCUAGAAAACACUAUAAUCAAAUUCGUCCUUUAUGUGCUUUUAUUGAAAAAAUAACACAACACAGGCAGAAACGAGGGAUUAGUUGCAGAAUUUAAGGAAAAGCAAGCAAGAAAGGAUCAUGAAAAGAGGAAAAGAAAAAAAAAAGGAAGAGAUUGGAAAACAAUGUUCCAGAGAUCGUGCUUUUUACUAUUGUGAACACUGUGGACUGCUGCAGUUGGUGGAGUUAGGCUGUAAAUCUUUUGCUCUUUUGAUGCCUCUGUCUUUUUGUUCUCUCGACAAGGAAAAAGAAGCCAUAUGAUGUGAGGAAGACAUCGAGAAAGAAAGAGAUGGCUGGAGGCGCACUCAGAGAGGGGAAGGAUCGUUUCAGUUGAAAGAGGAAAUCGAUGAGAAACAGAGGUUUGCGACCCUUCGAACCCUAAUUGAAAUGUCAAUUGUUAACCUUUCGUACAUGUAAGAUUCCUCAUUCACGAGUGGUAUAAGAGGUUGUGUCUGAUAUUCAUAAAUUAAAAUUUGAAACCUUUUUAUUACUUUCCAUUGAA